AUUAUUAUUACUAUUAUUAUUAUUAUUAUUAACAUCGUCAUUAAUGAAUUUUAAAUCUACGCGACUUGUAUAUAAAAAAUACAUACACAUUUUUCUGUUACGAACUAGUCGUACUCUACUGUCGUCCAACAUUUUUGGAAAUCUUGAUAAGAGUUACCUGUUUCUGAAAAAUUCCAAAGAAUCGACGACGUCGUUUGGAAAUUUUCAAAAUAAAUCGAUUCUCCUACCUUCUACUCGAGUACAUAUAUAUAUAUAUAUAUAUAUAUAUAUAUACACAUAUACAUAUACAUAUCAUGGAUACAUAGAGAACUAAAUCCGUCAGUCGAUGCGCAGCCGAUUUCCAAAGCAUAUUUAUAAAUCCAAGAAUCUAGUAGAAUGUGUAGAACGAGGGAACACAUAAAGGAACAAAUAAACAAACAAACAAACAAAUGGCCAUUCUACCAAAGUCUUCGUCACGUGGAAGGGAACACCCAUCGAUCGUGAUCGAUGGAUCGAUAUAUAUAUAUAUGUAUAUGUGGGAGAGAAUAUGCGUGUAUGCACGUAUGCGUGUAUGUAUGUAUGAGAAUACAUUUUAAAUCGUCGUUUCUUUUUUUCUGUUUUCAAUUUUCCGUUUCCUUUUUCUUUGCUUUUCGUCUCCAGCAGUAUUUCGUCGAUAAGUGAGAGUCGAAGAAAAAAAUCGAAUAGAUCGUAUAUCGUUCGUGAUCAAUCGUGAUCCAGAGAGAUACAGAAAUAGAUCGUUCUUCGAGAGAGAAGAAGAAUAUAUGUUUUAAUCACGAGAGAUGGAAAUUUGUAAAACGAAAUGAUCGAUUUUUUUAUUUUUUUGUUUUUUAAUAUAUAAAAAUCGUACAGGUGACUCAUGUCACGCGUAGAAUAACGUAGUUUUAAUAUAUCGUCGAAAUAUAUCUCCAUUAAUCCAUAAUAAUACUUUCACCUUGUUCUCUCUUACGUAAGAUCGAUCGAUCGAUCGAUCGAUCGUACUUUAACAUUUUUAAACGCCGUCAUUAACGUUUCGCGCUACAACCAAUGUAUUUCUAUCUACUAUGUAUGCAUGUAUGUAUGUAUGUAUGUAUGUAUGUAUGUAUAUACGAUCUACAUGUGUGUGUAUGUGUAUGUGAGAAGAGGAAUUUCGAUUUAUUUAUUCAAAUUCUUACUUCUUCCUCUUCUUCGUAAGCUCUUAUAAGGCACGAUUAUUGUAAAGCUUGCUUCGAAUCGGAAAACACCAGAUCUAUUAUAUAUGUAAACGUUUAAAAGUGAUCGAACUAUAUGUGCUCUUAAAAAUGGCGAGAGAAAAGGAAAAACAAAUAAUUUAUUAGAAACAAAAAAGAAAGGAAAGAAAAAGAAAACAGAAAAAGAUUAUUAUAAAAACGAAAUCAAGCAAUUGGAAAUUUUCCCAGGUCGAAAAUGUGAUCGUAAGUUGUUGUUGAUUAAAAAAAAAAUCUGGGAUAGAGGCUAAGAUCAUUUAUUAUCGAUUAAAUAAUAAUUAUUAAAAAGUAUCGAUCAUCGAUCGUUCGAUUUUAUACGAAAUGGAUCCGUUCGUUGAUUAGAAAAAAUCUGGAAAAGGGUAGGAGGACGAGGCUAACGUAAGAUCAUUUAUUAUGGACUGAAUUUUUAUAACAAGUUAUCGAUCAUCGAUUAUUUAGUUUUGAAAUCACUCACUCACACACACAUACACACACGCACGCUCAGCCAGCAAACACACAACAAACACUUUACGACUCCUAUUCAUAAAAUACUUCCGACUUUCAUCUCUCGGUAAGAGUACUACUAUUGAAAAGAAGAAAGAAAAAAAUUAUCAUUUUAAAUAUAUUAUCUCUUAUGUGUCUUCACAUGCUCACCAUUAUAUACAUAUAUAUAUAAAUAUAUAUAUAUACAUAUAUAUAUAUAUAUGUGUGUGUGUAUAUAUGAAAUAUAUAUAAAUAAUAUAAUUCUAAUUAAAAUAAUAAUGAAUUUAUUAUUAUAAUUAUUACUGUAUUACCAUUAUUACUAUUAUUAAUAAUAUUAAUGUUAAUAUAUUAUGUACGAUCUCUCGAUGAGAAUUUCUUACGAAAAAAAAAAUAUAUAUAUAACAUUCAACGGUGAAAAGCGAAUAGAUUUGUGUGAAUGUAUUCUCUUUAUACGUACAUACGUACAUAUAAAUACAUAUAUACACGCACACACACAUACGAUUCUACAUAGUUUCAUAGCAUUCACGAUCGAGAAGGAAACGAGGCUACAGGAAUGUGUAAACGAAUUUUUCAAUCAACUUUGUUCCGAGCGAAAGGAUCUCGCUCUCUCGAACGUAGUAUGCAAUAUAUCGGAAUGAUACCUCGAACGUAUCGAUUCGAUUAGAAGGUAUUUAUAUAUUUUUUCAUCAAAAUUAUAAUAAUUACAUCUCGAAACGAUCAUACCAAUGAACUUAUUAAUUACCAGAAACAAAAAACAACUAGACGAAUUAAGAAAUGAUCGAGAAAUAAUAAUCAUCGAAAUCGAUCACUAAAUUAUAAUUUCAUCGAGGAUUAAUAUUAUCCAUAAUCGUAUCAAUGGAAUUUAUUAAUUAACAAAAACGAGAGAAUCAACACUGAACAUUUAUAGAUCAUUGAAUUGCUACUGUAACCAACGAUCGUAAUCAAAUCUGUAUGUGUAUCGAUGAAUCAAAAGGAAAGUACUUGUUCGUCGGUUAUUAUAGUUCUAAUAACAUAGGUUAUCGGCUUUUGAUCUAUAAGUAAUAUCAUCUUCGAUGUGCACAGAUCCUAGAUCACUUUGUGACUGUGUAUGUGUGCGAUGUGUAUAUGUAUGUACCUAUGCGUUCGCAUGCGUGUAAAUUCGUGUCGGUCUUGGAUCGGUGCGCUUCCAACAGCGGCGUUUCACUCUCGCGUUCCCAUUUAACGUGGUGCCUAUUGGGCACUUGGCCCAAGAGAACGAACGACUGCCAGGUAUUAUUAAAGUACUACUACAAUCAUAA